rnacentral:rRNA from 1 species
CCUANGGGAGGCAGCAAGUGGGAAUAUUGCGCAAUGGGCGAAAGCCUGACGCAGCGACGCCGCGUGAGGGAUGAAGGCCUUCGGGUCGUAAACCUCUUUUGGCAGGGACGAAAACAAUGACGGUACCUGCAGAAGAAGCCCCGGCUAACUCCGUGCCAGCAGCCGCGGUAAUACGGAGGGGGCAAGCGUUGUCCGGAUUUACUGGGCGUAAAGAGCGCGUAGGCGGUCCAUUAAGUCGGCUGUGAAAGCGCUGGGCUUAACCCAGCAACCGCAGUCGAUACUGGUGGACUCGAGUCCGGGAGAGGGAAGCGGAAUUGCUGGUGUAGCGGUGGAAUGCGUAGAUAUCAGCAAGAACACCGGUGGCGAAGGCGGCUUCCUGGACCGGCACUGACGCUGAGGCGCGAAAGCUAGGGGAGCGAACGGGAUUAGAUACCCUANUANUC